AGGAACCGGCGAAAUUCGAUCUCGCGACCUCCUGUUUAUUAGACAGGCGCUUUAACCAACUAAGCCUUGGCGCC